GUCGCGCAUCCGCCGCCGCCUGCGCGUCGCCGAGCAGAACCGCCUGGCGCUGCGGCUGCGCGCCGUGCCGCCCUACUUCCGCAGCGUCUGGGGGCAGGCCUUCGCCUUCACCGACGACCUCACCACCAGGGCGGUGGACGAGUCGCUGCAAGAUGGGCGCGAGGGCGCCUCGCAGGUCAGCAGCAGCAGUGACGUCAGCAGGGACGCUGCGGUGGCAGUCGCCUCGCUGCUGAUGCGCUGAUCCUACUCUGGUGCUGGUUGAACUACGUCUGUACCACAGCAGCAGUCUUCGCGACUUGUUGUUCAGGUAUGCAAUAGUACAGCUACAGCAGCCCCUGAACCAAUGCAUGUAAAGCAAUUAGAACAGUAUAUUAAUGCUUGUAUUCAACCAGCUUCAAAAAACACCAUUGUUGAUCUUGUAACUGUAAAAUCUGUGCAGGCUAAGUUUACUGAAAGAAUGCCUAUAUAUGUAAAUGCACUUACACGCCUCAAUAUGAUUCAGGCCGAAUUCAAGGCAUAAAGAAAAUAAU